CAGGUGUCUUAUGACGCGCAUCCACGUGACUGAGCUGUUGUUUUUAUUUGUUCUUGUAUGACUGAAUACCUACAGCCCGGUUGUUAAAUUAUCCCCAUUUUACGUUAAAAAAUACCCUAAAGGAUUGAUUCUAAACAUCGUUUGACGUGUUUCUACAAACGGUAAUGGAACUUUUUGGCCAUUUCGUCUACGGAUUUGCGUCCACGCCACAUGGCAUGGUAACAUGUAGUUCUGGACGGGUCAACAAAACGGACGUAUUUUCGACAUAAAUGAUGGACUUUUGCAGAACAAAUGAAAAUUUUUAUUGUGGAAGUGGGAGCCCAUCCGAGUGCAUUCCGCCGAAGAUCAGCAAAAGUCUGAGGUCGGUAACGUCAACAGUGAGGACAAUCCCAGCCUGUCUCUCUCCUUCCACACUGAGUCCAAACCUACAGUCACUGUGUCCUGAUUGUGACAGUGGAGCCCAGUUUGCACUGCAGGAUGCAGAGAUGGAAUCAGUGAAGCUGGAAGACUGCAGUCAAACACUGGAGCUGAAUGUCAACAUUAAAGAAGAGGAGGAGGAGAUUGUCUCAACAUGGUCUCCAUUCUCUACAUCCAGAGAGCAACAGCAGGAAGAUCACAGAGCUAAGAGGUCUCACCACUGCCCACAUUGUGAGGAGAUUUUCCCAAUUCUAUCAAAGCUAAAAAUACACCUUAAAACACACACUGGAGAGAAUCUGUAUCCCUGUAAUGACUGUGGGAAGAGAUUCACAACAUCAAGGUCUCUGACAGUUCAUCAGAGAAUACACACAGGAGAGAAGCCUUACUCCUGCUCUGACUGUUGGAAGAGUUUCUCUCGACAGGGAAACUUAAAAAGACAUGAACGUAUACACACAGGAGAGAAGCCUUACUCCUGCUCUGAUUGUGUAAAAUGCUUCACAACAUCAACUGACCUAAAAGUUCAC